GACGAACGCUGGCGGCGUGCUUAACACAUUCAAGUCGAACGGUAAGGCCCUUCGGGGUACACGAGUGGCGAACGGGUGAGUAACACGUGGGUGAUCUGCCCUGCACUUCGGGAUAAGCCUGGGAAACUGGGUCUAAUACCGGAUAGGACCCUGGGAUGCAUGUCCUGGGGUGGAAAGCUUUUGCGGUGUGGGAUGGGCCCGCGGCCUAUCAGCUUGGUGGUGGGGUGAUGGCCUACCAAGGCGACGACGGAUAGCCGGCCUGAGAGGGUGACCGGACACAGUGGGACAGAGACACGAGCAAGAGUCCUACGGGCGGCAGCAGGGGGGAAUCUUGCACAAGGAGCGGAAGCCUGAUGCAGCGACGCCGCGUGGGGGUUGACGGGCUUCGGGUUGUAAACCUCUUUCAGCACCGAAGAAGCGCAAGUGACGGUAGGUGCAGAAGAAGGACAGGCCAACUACGUGCCAGCCGCCGCAGUAA
rnacentral:rRNA from 1 species